UGGCAUUGGGAAUNUUUACACAAGCCAGGA
rnacentral:piRNA from 1 species